GAUGAACGCUGGCGGCGUGCCUAAUACAUGCCAGUCGAGCGAACAGACGAGGAGCUUGCUCCUCUGACGUUAGCGGCGGACGGGUGAGUAACACGUGGAUAACCUACCUAUAAGACUGGGAUAACUUCGGGAAACCGGAGCUAAUACCGGAUAAUAUAUUGAACCGCAUGGUUCAAUAGUGAAAGACGGUUUUGCUGUCACUUAUAGAUGGAUCCGCGCCGCAUUAGCUAGUUGGUAAGGUAACGGCUUACCAAGGCAACGAUGCGCAGCCGACCUGAGAGGGUGAUCGGCCACACUGGAACUGAGACACGGUCCAGACUCCUACGGGAGGCAGCAGUAGGGAAUCUUCCGCAAUGGGCGAAAGCUUGACGGAGCAACGCCGCGUGAGUGAUGAAGGUCUUCGGAUCGUAAAACUCUGUUAUUAGGGAAGAACAAAUGUGUAAGUAACUAUGCACGUCUUGACGGUACCUAAUCAGAAAGCCACGGCUAACUACGUG
rnacentral:rRNA from 1 species